UGGCUCAGAGGUUAAAGCGUCUGCCUGCAAUGCGGGAGACCCGGGUUCGAUCCCUGG
rnacentral:tRNA from 1 species